AUUGAACGCUGGCGGCAGGCCUAACACAUGCAAGUCGAACGGUAGCACAGAGAGCUUGCUCUCGGGUGACGAGUGGCGGACGGGUGAGUAAUGUCUGGGAAACUGCCCGAUGGAGGGGGAUAACUACUGGAAACGGUAGCUAAUACCGCAUAGUGUCGCAAGACCAAAGAGGGGGACCUUCGGUCCUCUUGCCAUCGGAUGUGCCCAGAUGGGAUUAGCUUGUUGGUGAGGUAAUGGCUCACCAAGGCGACGAUCCCUAGCUGGUCUGAGAGGAUGACCAGCCACACGGGAAGUGAGCCACGGUCCAGACUCCUACGGGAGGCAGCAGUGGGGAAUAUUGCACAAUGGGGGGAAGCCUGAUGCAGCCAUGCCGCGUGUGUGAAGAAGGCCUUCGGGUUGUAAAGCACGUUCAGCGGGGAGGAAGGCAAUGCGGUUAAUAACCGUGUUGAUUGACGUUACCCGCAGAAGAAGCACCGGCUAACUCCGUG
rnacentral:rRNA from 1 species